UUUUACAAUGUAGAGUUUGAUCCUGGCUCAGGAUGAACGCUGGCUACAGGCUUAACACAUGCAAGUCGAGGGGCAGCAUGACAUGUUUUCGGACGUGUCGAUGGCGACCGGCGCACGGGUGAGUAACGCGUAUCCGACCUGCCCCGUACCAGGGCACAGCCCGUCGAAAGACGGAUUAAUGCCCUAUGUUCUCCGGAAGAUCCAUGUUUUCCGGAGCAAAGGUUAUUCCGGUACGGGAUGGGGAUGCGUCCGAUUAGCUUGCUGGCGGGGUAACGGCCCACCAGGGCACCGAUCGGUAGGGGUUCUGAGAGGAAGGUCCCCCACACUGGAACUGAGACACGGUCCAGACUCCUACGGGAGGCAGCAGUGAGGAAUAUUGGUCAAUGGGGGGAACCCUGAACCAGCCAAGUAGCGUGCAGGAUGACGGCCCUAUGGGUUGUAAACUGCUUUUGUGCGUGGAUAAAGUAGGCCACUUGUGGCCUUUUGCAGGUACCGCACGAAUAAGGACCGGCUAAUUCCGUGCCAGCAGCCGCGGUAAUACGGAAGGUCCGGGCGUUAUCCGGAUUUAUUGGGUUUAAAGGGAGCGUAGGCCGCCUGUCAAGCGUGCUGUGAAACGCCGUGGCUCAACCACGGUCCUGCAGCGCGAACUGGCGGGCUUGAGUGUGCGGAAGGCACGCGGAAUUCGUGGUGUAGCGGUGAAAUGCUUAGAUAUCACGAAGAACUCCGAUUGCGAAGGCAGCGUGCCGCAGCAUUACUGACGCUGAUGCUCGAAAGCGCGGGUAUCGAACAGGAUUAGAUACCCUGGUAGUCCGCGCGGUAAACGAUGGAUGCCCGCUGUCGGCGAUAUACAGUCGGCGGCCAAGCGAAAGCGUUAAGCAUCCCACCUGGGGAGUACGCCGGCAACGGUGAAACUCAAAGGAAUUGACGGGGGCCCGCACAAGCGGAGGAACAUGUGGUUUAAUUCGAUGAUACGCGAGGAACCUUACCCGGGCUUGAAUUGCAGAUGAAUGAUUCAGAGAUGAUGAAGUCCUUCGGGACAUCUGUGAAGGUGCUGCAUGGUUGUCGUCAGCUCGUGCCGUGAGGUGUCGGCUUAAGUGCCAUAACGAGCGCAACCCCUUCCCUCAGUUGCCAUCGGGUCAUGCCGGGCACUCUGUGGGUACUGCCUCCGCAAGGAGCGAGGAAGGCGGGGAUGACGUCAAAUCAGCACGGCCCUUACGUCCGGGGCUACACACGUGUUACAAUGGGGCAUACAGCGAGCAGGUGCCGUGCAAACGGUGUCGAAUCUUGAAAGUGCCCCUCAGUUCGGACUGGGGUCUGCAACCCGACCCCACGAAGCUGGAUUCGCUAGUAAUCGCGCAUCAGCCAUGGCGCGGUGAAUACGUUCCCGGGCCUUGUACACACCGCCCGUCAAGCCAUGAAAGCCGGGGGCGCCUGAAGUCCGUGACCGUGAGGGUCGGCCUAGGGUGAAACCGGUGAUUGGGGCUAAGUCGUAACAAGGUAGCCGUACCGGAAGGUGCGGCUGGAACACCUCCUUUCUG
rnacentral:rRNA from 1 species